GAUGAACGCUGGCGGCGUGCCUAAUACAUGCAAGUCGAGCGAAUGGAUUAAGAGCUUGCUCUUAUGAAUUUAGCGGCGGACGGGUGAGUAACACGUGGGUAACCUGCCCAUAAGACUGGGAUAACUCCGGGAAACCGGGGCUAAUACCGGAUAACAUUUUGAACCGCAUGGUUCGAAAUUGAAAGGCGGCUUCGGCUGUCACUUAUGGAUGGACCCGCGUCGCAUUAGGUAGUUGGAGAGGUAACGGCUCACCAAGGCAACGAUGCGUAGCCGACCUGAGAGGGUGAUCGGCCACACUGGGACUGAGACACGGCCCAGACUCCUACGGGAGGCAGCAGUAGGGAAUCUUCCGCAAUGGACGAAAGUCUGACGGAGCAACGCCGCGUGAGUGAUGAAGGCUUUCGGGUCGUAAAACUCUGUUGUUAGGGAAGAACAAGUGCUAGUUGAAUAAGCUGGCACCUUGACGGUACCUAACCAGAAAGCCACGGCUAACUACGUGCCAGCCGCCGCAGUAA
rnacentral:rRNA from 1 species